rnacentral:rRNA from 1 species
GACGAACCGUGCGAACGUUGUUCGGAAUCACUGGGAUUAAAGGGCGCGUAGGCGGGCUAUCAAGUCCGGGGUGAAAUCCUCCAGCUCAACUGGAGAACUGCCUCGGAUACUGAUGGUCUCGAGGAGGAUAGGGGCACACGGAACUGUGGGUGGAGCGGUGAAAUGCGUUGAUAUCCAUAGGAACUCCGGUGGCGAAAGCGGUGUGCUGGAUCCUUUCUGACGCUGAGGCGCGAAAGCCAGGGGAGCAAACGGG